rnacentral:rRNA from 1 species
CACGUAGGUCGCGAGCGUUAUCCGGAUUUACUGGGCGUAAAGCGCUUGUAGGCGGUUCUGUAAGUCGGGCGUGAAAUCUCUGGGCUUAACCCAGAGUGGCCGUUCGAUACUGCAGGGCUUGAGGAUGCUAGAGGGUGGUGGAAUUCCAGGUGUAGUGGUGAAAUGCGUAGAUAUCUGGAGGAACAUCCGUGGCGAAGGCGGCCACCUGGGGCAUUCCUGACGCUGAGAAGCGACAGCUAGGGGAUCAAACGGG